rnacentral:snoRNA from 1 species
GUGAUAUGAUGAGGAACUUAUUGGUCCGUGUUUCUGAUUUAACCGUGACCGACAAACCUUAACCAACUCUGAUCGC